CACUAAUUUAAGACUAAAAUUAGAAAAAUAAACUUACAUUGAAUAAAAAAAAAACUAACUUACAAUGACCAAAAACAGAUUUAAACAUUGUUAAUGAGUAAUGAUAAUUCUAUUUCAAACUUAAAAAAAAAAAAAAAACUGCCCAGUCUGCUUUUGCUCUGUCCUCACACAGCCGCUGGUGUUUAACUGGAACCCCACUUCAGAAUAGCUUGGAAGACCUAUACAGUCUCUUGCGUGUUGAACCUUGGUGCAACUUGACAUUGUGGCAGAAGUUAAUUCAAAGGCCUUAUGAGAAUGGUGAUCCAAGAUCCCUGGAGUUGGCCAAGGUCAUUUUGAGGAUGCUGAUGUUAAGAAGAACAAAGGAAACGAAGGAUAAGAGAGGCCGAUACUUUUCUCCCGCCUCCAAUUGAUAUCCAGUUGAUUGAGUGUGAACAAUCAGAAUCUGAACGGGACUUUUAUGAAGCCCUUUUCGAGAGAUCUGAAGCAAGUUUUGUGCCACAGCUUCUGAUUUGUGCUUGGAUCUGAAUAACAACCUGUUUCACUUUUAUCAAUUUUGAUAAAGUCUAAAAAUCUGUUAAUAGAAACCGUUCUCAAACCUAGUUUGUUCUAGUAACUGUUAAUAGUUUUAUGUUUGGCACGUUAACUGCCAUGCAACUCUUGAACUUACUAUCCAAUGCAAACAGGUUCAAUUUGAUCAGUAUGUUGCACAAGGAAAGGUUCUUCACCAUUAUGCAAAUAUCCUUGACCUACUAAUGCAGUUGAGGCGGUGUUGUAACCAUCCAUUUUUAGUUAUGUGCGGAAGUGAUACCCAGAAACGUGCAGAUUUAAGCAGACACGCAAGAAGAUUCCUUCAGACUAAUACUGAAUGCCCCGAAGAAAGCAAUCAAAAUGAUCCUCGGCAGCAAGCAGAGUUGAACAAACUUGCAAGUAGAUUACUUCUAAAAUCUGCUUCUUCUUCGCACUCGUUCAACCUCAUGCAUACAUUGCCGAGGUUUUGGAGGAUAUUCAAAAGGGUGACAUUGUAGAAUGUUCUAUAUGCAUGGAAUCUCCAGAAGAUCCUGUGUUUACACCAUGUGCACAUAAAUUUUGUAGAGAAUGUCUAUAUAGUUGCUGGGGCACCUCAGCGGGUGGUAAAUGUCCAAUCUGUCGUCAAUUGCUCCAGAAAGACGAUCUGAUUACUUAUUCAUCUGAAAGUCCAUUCAAGCUCGAUGUUAAGAACAAUGUGACGGAGUCUUCAAAGGUUUCAAAGCUAUUUGAAUUCCUGCAACGUAUUUUGAACACAUCAAGUGAAAAGAGUAUCGUCUUCAGUCAAUGGACAUCAUUUUUUUAUCUGUUGGAGAAUUCUUUGAGGAGGAAAGGAAUUGGUUUUCUGAGAUAUGAUGGGAAGUUGACUCAGAAGCAGAGGGAGAAAGUUCUGGAUGAAUUCAACCAGACAAGAGAGAAAAGGGUUAUGUUGAUGUCACUAAAAGCUGGUGGUAUGGGCUUGAACUUAACUGCAGCUUCAAAUGUUUUCAUUAUGGAUCCAUGGUAGAACCCUGCAGUUGAGGAGCAAGCAAUAAUGAGAAUUCAUCGAAUAGGACAAAACCGAAGGAAGAGUUGUAGUGAGAAGAUUUAUCGUUAAGGACACGGUGGAAGAUCGCUUGCAACAAGUUCAAGCUAGGAAACAAAGGUUGAUAUCUGGUACCCUCACAGAUGAUGAGGUUCGGACUGCUAGAAUUCAAGAUCUCAAAAUGCUUUUCACACGAGAGUUUAUUUAUUUAGAAGGUGAUUUAUUUGUCUAUUUUUUUAGAUCUAGGAAAGCCAAUUUUGUAUAGAUUGUUGGAUCCUUUUCUACAGCAAAAGGCUUCUUUUUUUCUUUUGUGUACAUACAUGAAAUGAUGAUCAUUAGACUAUUCUGAACUCUAACAAAGAAGCCCACUGUUUUGUAAAUCUUUCAGCUUUAGUGGUUAUUUUCAUAUUGGUCAUUCAA